rnacentral:rRNA from 1 species
AACGCACCUUGCGCUCUUGGGCCAUUCCUAAGAGCAUGCCUGUUUGAGUGUCGUGAAACUCCUCAACCCUGGAUGGAUUUUGAAUCCGACCGGUGGCUUGGAUUUGGGGGCUUGCUGGCCGUUUCGAUUCGGUCUGCUCCCCUUGAAUGCAUUAGCUUGGACUUGUGACUUAGGCUACAUAGUGUGAUAAUUAUCUACGCCUGUAUGCCGUGUCUGUCGAGUGCUCGCUCACAGCCGUCCCUUGUGGACAACGUCAACCAUCGUGACCUCAAAUCAGGUAGGACUACCCGCUGAACUUAA